rnacentral:rRNA from 1 species
UACGUAGGGGGCAAGCGUUGUCCGGAUUUACUGGGCGUAAAGAGCGCGUAGGCGGAGAUCUAAGCGUGGCCUGAAAGCCCCCGGCUCAACCGGGGAGUGCGGCUGCGAACUGGGUUUCUUGAGGACGAUAGAGGAGAGUGGAAUUCCUGGUGUAGCGGUGAAAUGCGUAGAUAUCAGGAGGAACACCCGAGGCGAAGGCGGCUCUCUGGGUCGUACCUGACGCUGAGGCGCGAAAGCAUGGGGAGCGAACAGG